rnacentral:rRNA from 1 species
CGACCGGCGCACGGGUGAGUAACACGUAUCCAACCUACCCAUGACUCGGGGAUAGCCUUUCGAAAGAAAGAUUAAUACCCGAUGGUAUAUAUUUCCUGCAUGGGGAAUAUAUUAAAGAAUUUCGGUGAUGGAUGGGGAUGCGUUCCAUUAGUUUGUUGGCGGGGUAACGGCCCACCAAGACUUCGAUGGAUAGGGGUUCUGAGAGGAAGGUCCCCCACAUUGGAACUGAGACACGGUCCAAACUCCUACGGGAGGCAGCAGUGAGGAAUAUUGGUCAAUGGACGAGAGUCUGAACCAGCCAAGUAGCGUGAAGGAUGACUGCCCUUUGGGUUGUAAACUUCUUUUAUAUGGGAAUAAAGUGGGGUAUGUAUACCCUUUUGUAUGUACCAUUAUGAAUAAGCAUCGGCUAACUCCGUGCCAGCAGCCGCGGUAAUACGGAGGAUGCGAGCGUUAUCCGGAUUUAUUGGGUUUAAAGGGAGCGUAGGUGGGCGAUUAAGUCAGUUGUGAAAGUUUGGGGCUCAACCUUAAAAUUGCAGUUGAUACUGAUUGUCUUGAGUGCGUUAAAGGUGGGCGGAAUUCGUGGUGUAGCGGUG